UACGUAGGCAGCGAGCGUUGUUCGGAUUUACUGGGCGUAAAGCGCACGUAGGCGGAUCGUUAAGUCGGGGGUGAAAUCCUGGAGCUCAACUCCAGAACUGCCUUCGAUACUGGCGAUCUUGAGUCCGGAAGAGGUGAGUGGAACUCCUAGUGUAGAGGUGGAAUUCGUAGAUAUUAGGAAGAACACCAGUGGCGAAGGCGGACACUCUGGGACGGUACUGACGCUGAGACGCGAAAGCGUGGG
rnacentral:rRNA from 1 species